GAUGAACGCUAGCUACAGGCUUAACACAUGCAAGUCGAGGGGCAUCAGGAACAUAGCUUGCUAUGUUUGCUGGCGACCGGCGCACGGGUGCGUAACACGUAUCCAAUCUGCCCGUUACUCGGGGAUAGCCUUUCGAAAGAAGGAUUAAUACCCGAUGGUAUUAUGAUGAGACAUCUCAUAUAAUUAAAGAUUUAUCGGUAACGGAUGAGGAUGCGUAUGAUUUGUUAGUUGGCGGGGUAACGGCCCACAAAGACUACGAUCAUUAGGGGUUCUGAGAGGAAGGUCCCCCACACUGGAACUGAGACACGGUCCAGACUCCUACGGGAGGCAGCAGUGAGGAAUAUUGGUCAAUGGACGAGAGUCUGAACCAGCCAAGUAGCGUGAAGGAUGACUGCCCUAUGGGUUGUAAACUUCUUUUGUUUGGGAAUAAAGUUAGGUACGUGUACCUAUUUGUAUGUACCAUUCGAAUAAGCAUCGGCUAAUUCCGUGCCAGCAGCCGCAGUAAAAC
rnacentral:rRNA from 1 species